rnacentral:rRNA from 1 species
GCUAUACUGCAAGUCGUACGAACUCUGUGUAUUGAUUGGUGCUUGCAUCAUGAUUUACAUUUGAGUGAGUGGCGAACUGGUGAGUAACACGUGGGAAACCUGCCCAGAAGCGGGGGAUAACACCUGGAAACAGAUGCUAAUACCGCAUAACAACUUGGACCGCAUGGUCCGAGCUUGAAAGAUGGCUUCGGCUAUCACUUUUGGAUGGUCCCGCGGCGUAUUAGCUAGAUGGUGGGGUAACGGCUCACCAUGGCAAUGAUACGUAGCCGACCUGAGAGGGUAAUCGGCCACAUUGGGACUGAGACACGGCCCAAACUCCUACGGGAGGCAGCAGUAGGGAAUCUUCCACAAUGGACGAAAGUCUGAUGGAGCAACGCCGCGUGAGUGAAGAAGGGUUUCGGCUCGUAAAACUCUGUUGUUAAAGAAGAACAUAUCUGAGAGUAACUGUUCAGGUAUUGACGGUAUUUAACCAGAAAGCCMCGGCUAACUACGUGCCAGCAGCCGCGGUAAUACGUAGGUGGCAAGCGUUGUCCGGAUUUAUUGGGCGUAAAGCGAGCGCAGGCGGUUUUUUAAGUCUGAWKKKRAAGCCUUCGGCUCAACCGAAGAAGUGCAUCGGAAACUGGGAAACUUGAGUGCAGAAGAGGACAGUGGAACUCCAUGUGGUAGCGGUGAAAUGCGUAGAUAUAUGGAAGAACACCAGUGGCGAAGGCGGCUGUCUGGUCUGUAACUGACGCUGAGGCUCGAAAGUAUGGGUAGCAAACAGGAUUAGAUACCCUGGUAGUCCAUACCGUAAACGAUGAAUGCUAAGUGUUGGAGGGUUUCCGCCCUUCAGUGCUGCAGCUAACGCAUUAAGCAUUCCGCCUGGGGAGUACGGCCGCAAGGCUGAAACUCAAAGGAAUUGACGGGGGCCCGCACAAGCGGUGGARCAUGUGGKUUAAUUCCGAAGCUACGCGAAGAACCUUACCAGGUCUUGACAUACUAUGSMAAUCUAAGAGAUUAGACGUUCCCUUCGGGGACAUGGAUACAGGUGGUGCAUGGUUGUCGUCAGCUCGUGUCGUGAGAUGUUGGGUUAAGUCCCGCAACGAGCGCAACCCUUAUUAUCAGUUGCCAGCAUUAAGUUGGGCACUCUGGUGAGACUGCCGGUGACAAACCGGAGGAAGGUGGGGAUGACGUCAAAUCAUCAUGCCCCUUAUGACCUGGGCUACACACGUGCUACAAUGGAUGGUACAACGAGUUGCGAACUCGCGAGAGUAAGCUAAUCUCUUAAAGCCAUUCUCAGUUCGGAUUGUAGGCUGCAACUCGCCUACAUGAAGUCGGAAUCGCUAGUAAUCGCGGAUCAGCAUGCCGCGGUGAAUACGUUCCCGGGCCUUGUACACACCGCCCGUCACACCAUGAGAGUUUGUAACACCCAAAGUCGGUGGGGUAACCUUUUAGGAACCAGCCGCCUAAGGUACAAAA